rnacentral:rRNA from 1 species
AUGAACGCUGGCGGCGUGCUUAACACAUGCAAGUCGAACGAUGAAGCCCAGCUUGCUGGGUGGAUUAGUGGCGAACGGGUGAGUAACACGUGAGUAACCUGCCCCUGACUCUGGGAUAAGCCCGGGAAACUGGGUCUAAUACUGGAUAUGACCUGUCACCGCAUGGUGGUGGGUGGAAAGAUUUUUUGGUUGGGGAUGGACUCGCGGCCUAUCAGCUUGUUGGUGAGGUAGUGGCUCACCAAGGCGACGACGGGUAGCCGGCCUGAGAGGGUGACCGGCCACACUGGGACUGAGACACGGCCCAGGCUCCUACGGGAGGCAGCAGUGGGGAAUAUUGCACAAUGGGCGCAAGCCUGAUGCAGCGACGCCGCGUGAGGGAUGACGGCCUUCGGGUUGUAAACCUCUUUCAGUAGGGAAGAAGCCUUUGGGUGACGGUACCUGCAGAAGAAGCGCCGGCUAACUACGUGCCAGCAGCCGCGGGUAAUACGUAGGGCGCAAGCGUUAUCCGGAUUUAUUGGGGCGUAAAGAGCUCGUAGGCGGUUUGUCGCGUCUGCCGUGAAAGUCCGGGGCUUAACUCCGGAUCUGCGGUGGGGUACGGGCGGACUAGAGUGCAGUAGGGGAGACUGGAAUUCCUGGUGUAGCGGUGAAAUGCGCAGAUAUCAGGAGGAACACCGAUGGCGAAGGCAGGUCUCUGGGCUGUAACUGACGCUGAGGAGCGAAAGCAUGGGGAGCGAACAGGAUUAGAUACCCUGGUAGUCCAUGCCGUAAACGUUGGGCACUAGGUGUGGGGGACAUUCCACGUUUUCCGCGCCGUAGCUAACGCAUUAAGUGCCCCGCCUGGGGAGUACGGCCGCAAGGCUAAAACUCAAAGGAAUUGACGGGGGCCCGCACAAGCGGCGGAGCAUGCGGAUUAAUUCGAUGCAACGCGAAGAACCUUACCAAGGCUUGACAUGGACUGGAUCGCCGCAGAGAUGUGGUUUCCCUUCGGGGCUGGUUCACAGGUGGUGCAUGGUUGUCGUCAGCUCGUGUCGUGAGAUGUUGGGUUAAGUCCCGCAACGAGCGCAACCCUCGUUCCAUGUUGCCAGCGGGUUAUGCCGGGGACUCAUGGGAGACUGCCGGGGUCAACUCGGAGGAAGGUGAGGACGACGUCAAAUCAUCAUGCCCCUUAUGUCUUGGGCUUCACGCAUGCUACAAUGGCCGGUACAAAGGGUUGCGAUACUGUGAGGUGGAGCUAAUCCCAAAAAGCCGGUCUCAGUUCGGAUUGGGGUCUGCAACUCGACCCCAUGAAGUCGGAGUCGCUAGUAAUCGCAGAUCAGCAACGCUGCGGUGAAUACGUUCCCGGGCCUUGUACACACC